rnacentral:rRNA from 1 species
GAUGAACGCUGGCGGCGUGCCUAAUACAUGCAAGUCGAGCGAACAGACGAGGAGCUUGCUCCUCUGACGUUAGCGGCGGACGGGUGAGUAACACGUGGAUAACCUACCUAUAAGACUGGGAUAACUUCGGGAAACCGGAGCUAAUACCGGAUAAUAUAUUGAACCGCAUGGUUCAAUAGUGAAAGACGGUUUUGCUGUCACUUAUAGAUGGAUCCGCGCCGCAUUAGCUAGUUGGUAAGGUAACGGCUUACCAAGGCAACGAUGCGUAGCCGACCUGAGAGGGUGGUCGGCCACACUGGAACUGAGACACGGUCCAGACUCCUACGGGAAGCAGCAGUAGGGAAUCUUCCGCAAUGGGCGAAAGCCUGACGGAGCAACGCCGCGUGAGUGAUGAAGGUCUUCGGAUCGUAAAACUCUGUUAUUAGGGAAGAACAAAUGUGUAAGUAACUAUGCACGUCUUGACGGUACCUAAUCAGAAAGCCACGGCUAACUACGUG